ensembl:lncRNA
CACAAGUCUAUUUAUUUGCCAGUACCAUUGCUAUUUUCUAUCACGGUAGUUUUGUAGUAUAACUUCAAAUCAAUGAUUGUGAUGCCCUCUUCCUUACCCUUGCUGCCCAGAAUUCCUUUCGCUAGUCUGAUUCCAUAUGAAUUUGAGGAUUGUUUUCUCCAGUUCUGUGAGGAAUGCUAUUGGUAUUUUGAUUGGGAUUGCAUUAAAUCUGUACAUCAUAGGUUUCAAUCACAAAUAGGUGUUGGACUUUGUCAAGUGCUUUUGUUGUGUCUAUUGAGAUGAUCAUGUGGUUUUUGUUGUUGGUUCUGUUAAUGUGGUGUAUUACAUUUAUUGAUUCAUGUAUGUUCAACCAUCCCUGCAUCCCGGGUAUGAAUCUUAAUUGGUCAUGGUAUAUAAUCCUUUUGAACAUUUACUGCACUCUGUUUGCUAGUAUCUUAUUGAGGAUUUGUGCAUCUAUGUUCACUAGGGAGAUUGGCCUGCAGUUCUCUUUUCUGGUCGGGUCUUUCUCUGGUUUUAGUAUCAGGGUAAUUCUUGCUUCCAGGAAUGAAUUUGGGAGUAUUCCUUUGCUUUCAAUUUCAUCAAAGAGUUUGAAAGGUAGUAGCAUUAGAUCUUCUCUAAAGUUCUUGAAGAAUUCAGCACAGCAUCUCUUAGUAAUUAGGCUUUUCUUUGUUGGUAGCAUUUUUAUUAUUAUUUCUUCAAUUUCAUUGAUUGAUAUUGGACUAUUUAAAAUUUUUAUAUCUUCUUGAUAUCAGCUUUGGUAAUUCCUAUGUAUCUAGGAACUUGUCCUUCUCUUUGAAUUAUCUAUCUUGUUAAGGUACAGGAUCACAAAGUAGGUACUGAUGAUCUGGAUUUCUGCAGGAUCUAUUGUGAUUUCACCCUUUUCUUUCCUAAUUGCAUGGAUUUGGGUCUUUUCUUUCCUUGUUUUGAUGAGCUUACCUAUUUUAUUUAAUCUUUCAAAGAACUAACUCUUUCAUUCUUUUAUUGUUUUCUUUGUCUCAAUUGCAUUAAUUUUGGUCUCAUCUUUUUUUUAAAAAUUCAGGAAAGGAAUUAUGGCUUUAAAUUUAUCUUUACAAUUCCAGUAUUUUUGCACCUCUGUCUAACCUUUUCCUAGCAAUCAAAUCAUAUUUUAAAAUCUAGCUUGUGAAGUAAACUUUACGUAAUAAAAGACAUUAGAAACAGUAUGAGAAUGAUUGAAUUCACUGUUUUCUCUCAAGUAAUAUUUCCCUCUAUUUUUGAUGCAAAAAUUAAAAAUGUGGAUUUAAACUGAAACCUCAUACUUUGUGCCAAGGGAUUGAUGGAGGAAAAGUACUUUACAUGGAUGCCAAUCUAUCUUCCAGGAUUACUGGCUAACUUUGGGUACCCUAAUGUGUCAUUUCCUGCCCAUCUGCCUACUUUGUAAAACUGGUUUCAGCAGUCUAGCAUCCUAUAGUUGUAUCCUUUUCACCUUCCUACUCCUUUCUUCCAUAGGAGAAGGGCAAACUCAAAAUCACCUUUAGUGAUGUGAGGCCUUGCUGAGCUGCCGUCUUUUUCUGCCUACAUUUAGUAGCUUGGACUUUCUUCUGAGUUCUAACAGCACCCCAUGAGUUUAUGUCACAACACUCAUCUUAUCUUCCAUCUUCCCAUGUCACCAUGGCAAUGAGUGAGUUCUGGAGAACAGAGCUUUAUAUUUUUUCAUUGCUCCAUCAUCAAGAAGCCAUCAUUAGUGUGGUUCUUAAUAAAUGAGAGGUGGGCGUGGAAAUCAUAUUCAAAGAAGAGUACUAGAGUAAAAACGGUCCCUAAUCCUGACCAUUAAAUGACAUAUUCAAAUUAAAAUUGUGCAUUUGCUUCAGUGCCUUGUUUUGUUUUCCUCAUGCAAACCACAUACAGCAAAGUUUUCCAGGGUCGUCUGGCAUACCAAGUCCCUAAUUCUCCUCUGGAAAAUGUAAGAGAAGAGGAAGAGUUCCAUGUCCAAAACCUGGAGUUCACGCCAGGUCCAGCCAACACAGGUGUGUAGGGAAGGAAUCGGGCAGAGACCAACAAGCCUCUUCUCAGCUGCCCUCAUCCUCCUUUUCUCCUUCUCAAUUUGGAUUUUCUUAUAGAAGAAAUUGAGAAGCCCAACUUUUGUUCUUAUGCAAUUGAAAUAAUGUCAGAAAUCCAGAAGAUUAGAGUUUUCUGUAUGCAUGACAUUAUAUUAUUUCACAUCAUGGUUUCCCAAAUUAACAUUUUUACUAUCAAAAUAACCCUCAACAAGCCUUCAUCACAUUCUCUGUAUUUAUCCUUUAAUAUGUAUACUUAGACUAGGAACUAAGUUGAGAUCUGCUCUGUAACUGUAGCGGUGGCUCUGGAGAAUAUGAAGAAACUCUACCCAGUAGAGUGUCCUUCCCGUAAAGGUUGUGAGAGACAUUAACAAUCUUGUUAGAAAAUUUUCCUAGAAAAUGUAAGCAGAAUUGUGCACAAACUUGGAGAGACAUAAGUAAUGUGACCAUUCCUAGGCCAGGGUUCUUUCCAAAAGGUAAAAAUGGAGCAAAUCCUCUCACAAAAUAUAAUGACUUUAGAAGGACUAAAAAUUUUCCUCUAUCUCUCAGGCCAUCAUAGUUCUCUCAGAAUUCACACUGAGUAGUCUCUGAGGAAAGUCUUUGGUUUUCCAGGAAGCAAAAAGGGUACGUGUAAAGUUAAGUGGUCAUGCUGUGGAGAGAGCUGUUAUUAUUUUUCACGGGGAAUGAAGAACUUUGAAGACAGUAGGAAACUCUGCAAAAAAAGGACUCCACACUUGUUAAGAUAGAAGAUACACAGGAACUGAACUUUAUUCAAAGCCAAAUAUCUUAUUUCUCUUGGAUUGGGUUGUCCCGUGAAGGAACCAGCACACCCUGGACAUGGGAGGAUAAGUCACAACCCUCUCUUGAAAGUGAUUGGAAAGAGUCAGAGACUGGAAACUGUGGAAGUGUAACACCAACAAAGAUGGUUGCUCUUGAAUGUUCCAGAUUAAUAACCUAUAUUUGUGAGAAGAAAAAUGUUUGUCUUGCUACCAUGCAAUGAGAACAUCAUCAACAAAACAGACAAAUUCAAUCAUUUUUCCUUAUGAAAACCCAGACCCGUGGAAGCUUUUUGUGGGCUGUACCUGUAUUGUACCCGCUGAUUGAGAUGAAUGGAAGCUUAUUGGAAUGAGGAGUCAUAGACUCACCUAUCCUACCCCUAUUACAAGAAGAUGGCCUAACCACACCUUAGUGUGAGCUGGUGAAGUAAGAGAGCACCAGUACUUCUGAUGAGGACUACAAAGCACGGUUCUGCCACGCUCUGUCUGCAGCUCACACAAACCUAGAGAUUUUCUACAAACUUCCGGCACUAACAUCCACAUUUCAUUAGGAAGUAAUGUAACAGUAAAUAAGAUCAUGACUCUAUAUGAAGCGUUAUGAAUUAUUCUCAGGUUCACAACCUUUUAGGAGAAAGACAGAAUGGUGUACUGGAGAGAAUGAAGUAGUAUCUUGAAUCAAGUGUAACUCUGCUCAUUGGCAAAUCCAAACUUUUGACUCUCAAUUUCAUCAUCAGUAAAAAAUUACCAGACUGUUUUCUGAAGUAAUUGUUCCAUUUUGCAUUCUGAAGAGAAUUAUAGAAAAGUUCUAUGUGCUCACAUCCUUCUAAGAUUUAGGAUUGUCCAUCUGUAAAAUCAUUUCAUAAGAAUUUACUAUAUUUGUAAUUUUAAUUUGUAUUUCCCUAUGAGUAAACUAUGUAAACAUCUUUGCUUGAGUUUUUGGUCAACCACACAUCUACUAGGAUAAAAUACAUAGUUAAAUCUGUGCCAACAUUUUAUUGGGUUGUUUGUUGUCUUAAUAUUGAGUGAUGAG